rnacentral:rRNA from 1 species
GGCUCCUUGUAAAUUAAAAAUAAGGAGUCGGACCUGCCCAGUGAAAUUUUUCAACGGCCGCGGUACUCUGACCGUGCAAAGGUAGCAUAAUCAUUUGCCUUAUAAUUGAAGGCUUGUAUGAAUGGUUUGACAAGAAUGAAGCUGUCUCUCUAUAAUUAAUUAAAAUUUUAUUUAUAGGUGAAGAAGCCUAUAUUAUAUUGAAAGACAAGAAGACCCUAUCGAGCUUUAAAUAAGUCAAUAAAUUAAGAAAUUUAUAUUCGAAUAUAAAUUUUGUUAUUGGGUAAUUUUAGUUGGGGCGACUAAGGAACAGAUAAAGCUUCCUAUAUAAAAUUAGUACAUCCAAGUUUUGAUCCAAGCAUUUUGAUUAAAGAAAUUAGUUACCGUAGGGAUAACAGCAUUAUCUUUUUUGAGAGUUCUAAUCGAAAAAAAGGUUUGUGACCUCGAUGUUGGACCAGAAUAUCCUAAAGAUGCAGCCGUCUUUAAGGGUUGGUCUGUUCGACCAUUAAAAUUCUACGUGAUCUGAGUUCAGACCGGCGUGAGCCAGGUCAGUUUCUAUCUUCAAUUUAUAUAGUGAGCUUAGUACGAAAGGACCAGUUUACUGUAAGAAUACUUACUAUGUCUGAUAAAGUAUAAAGAAUUAUUAAAUUAAUAAUAGUAUAAAAUAAAUCAAAUUAGCAAAGAUUUAAUGCAAUUGACUUAGGAUCAAUAGACAUAGGUGAAAUUCCUUUAUUUGAUACAUAGAGGUGGCAGAUGAA